CGGACGACGCUGGCGGCGUGCUUAACACAUGCAAGUCGAGCGGUAAGGCUCCUUCGGGAGUACACGAGCGGCGAACGGGUGAGUAACACGUGAGUAACCUGCCCCAAUCAUCGGGAUAACCAUUGGAAACGAUGGCUAAUACCGAAUACGACCACCGAAGGCAUCUUCUGGUGGUGGAAAGCUCCGGCGGAUUGGGAUGGACUCGCGGCCUAUCAGCUUGUUGGUGAGGUAAUGGCUCACCAAGGCAACGACGGGUAGCCGGCCUGAGAGGGUGACCGGCCACACUGGGACUGAGACACGGCCCAGACUCCUACGGGAGGCAGCAGUGGGGAAUAUUGGACAAUGGGCGCAAGCCUGAACCAGCCAUGUCGCGUGCAGGAAGACUGCCCUAUGGGUUGUAAACUGCUUUUAUAGUAGAAGAAACACAUCUACGCGUAGAUGUCUGCCAGUAUACUAUGAAUAAGCAUCGGCUAACUCCGUG
rnacentral:rRNA from 1 species